UGGAGAUAUAUAUAUAUAUAUAUAUAUAUAUAUAUAUAUAUAUAUAUAAUGCACAAGUAAGAUCCGCACUCACAGGUUCCCUCGGUUUUUACAAUAGUCGCGUUUCAGUGAUAGGGUGGAUACGUCAUCUUCAAAUGGCUAAAUUUUCCCGCCAAAUCUAGGUAUUUAAGCAUUUUGUAUUAAUGUAUUUGAUACUUUGAGAAAGGCCUCGGAGGAGGCCGAAACGUUAGACUCCUACAAUAAAUUUUUCAUUAUUUCCAUAAGUCCUGUGAGUGCGGAUCUUACUUGUGCAUUAGAGAUUUAAAUAUUCGAUACUGCACCCAGGCAUCUGAAACUAUGUGUCGAGAGUGCCGGCUUCACCACGAACUGCAUUUGACCAAAUUAAGCUGGGCACCCGUGAGUUUUGUGAUGUGAAAACCAGUGAAGUUUACAAAAUGCGUAUAUUUGGAUUUGCUGGGUUAUUGCAAUUUGGACUGAGAUUUCUCCCACAAAACUCUAAUGGUCCUGAGUGGGGACACGAUACCCGAUACUUUGAACAACCAUGGAGUUCCUUUAUGACCACACCACACUCAACGUUUACUACCCGCAGUUGAAAGGGUGAGUUUGACUGAGAAUCAGAAACUAAUGAUGUCUUUUAAUCAUUACUGACAAGUGGAGAGGUCAGCGGUAUGAGUGAACCUGCCCCGGGAGAAGCCCCAGGUCAUCGCUAUUACCCACCUGCGAUAGCUGCAACAGCUUGCGAGGGCCCGCAUUUCGGAUUCAAUAUAGCGAGGGGAGUUCAGACUCAACAAGCAUGCAGUGCAGAGCACAUGGACCCGGGCAAUCCAUUUUCGGCCAACAGGCUAUGUCCCGCUUGACGCUUCCGGUUCGUGAGGACCUGAGUGAAGCUCCUUUUCCUGCUUUAGAGAUCGUUUUAUCGAUCCGGAAAAACCACACUAAUGGAACAUUUCCAGUGACCUCAUACAUUGUUCGGCUGUACAGUGAUGACCUCUUCCGAUGGGGUUGGAUGGGGACACGUCAGUAUGGGUGAUUUUGGAUACGUUUGAUACGGUGAACAAUUAUAUACAUGAACCUGAUAGAUCCACUACCUAUGAGCGUUACAAGAUUUCUCGUCUGAUGACACGGCAAUAUGGGAGACGGGUUGUUUCUGCAGUUCGUGUAGAUAUCUACAGGAGCUCGCUGGAUACGUUGUGAGUGUCAGCUGAUGGAUUUACAACUCCACACAGGACGGAGUUAACGCCCGUACAGAUCCAGAGGAAUGAAUGAACUUGAUAUCCUAUUGCAUGCUAGCACGCGAUUGACGCACUAACAGUGCGCGCAAUGUCUCUGUGGGUAGCUUUGAUAAAGCGAGCACGGGGUUAGGUAAUCUGGCACUGGGUGAUCCGAUGAAUUUUGGUCCAACUGAGAUCGUGGGAUUGGAGUGGAUUUCUUUGCACACAGCGGCAUUAAGCAGGGUUGACACUGUAAUGGCUCGAUAUACGGUCACGGCGGUGAUGGCUACACAGGAGCGGUAAGCUUGUUUUGGAUCAGCCCUUUAAGCUGAUCAGUAGUCUUUUAGGAUUUGUAUUCAACGGUGUUUUACUAACAGUAUAUAACAUGAUCCACGACAGGCACUAUUUAGCACUAUUUAUUACUAGUGUGCGGACACUUGGUCUUAUCACAACACUGUAUCGGGGCACUAUUGGAGGCAUUGAUGUGACUCUUACUUCGAUACUUUUUACCAUAUAGGGUUUACUUCAUUGACUAAAAUGAUACAUAUGUUACAAUUGUUUAUUGAAGUUUUACGGAGUCUUUUAGGUGGGGGAAGUAUUCUAUUAGUAUAAUUACAAGUAUACACGUCAGAGUGGGAGGGUUUGUGAUAUUUUCGCGCCAUGGGUGGGGUAUUUAUGGGCAAAUGUUUUAAUGUUUUGUUACUUUGACAAAGGCUGGUGUGGCAGCCGAAACGUUAGUGUGUCCUAAUAAAUUCAUUACUUUACUAUAA